rnacentral:rRNA from 1 species
AGAGUUUGAUCCUGGCUCAGGAUGAACGCUAGCGGCAGGCUUAAUACAUGCAAGUCGUGGGGCAGCAUGAGUGUAGCAAUACAUUUGAUGGCGACCGGCAAACGGGUGCGGAACACGUACACAACCUUCCUUUAAGUGGGGAAUAGCCCAGGGAAACUUGGAUUAAUACCCCGUAAUAUUAUGAAGUGGCAUCACUUUAUAAUUAUAGCUCCGGCGCUUGAAGAUGGGUGUGCGGCUGAUUAGGUAGUUGGCGGGGUAACGGCCCACCAAGCCUACGAUCAGUAACUGGUGUGAGAGCACGACCAGUCACACGGGCACUGAGACACGGGCCCGACUCCUACGGGAGGCAGCAGUAAGGAAUAUUGGGCAAUGGACGCAAGUCUGACCCAGCCAUGCCGCGUGGAGGAUGAAGGUCCUCUGGAUUGUAAACUUCUUUUCUCUGGGGCGAAAAAGGGAUAUUCUUAUCCCCCUGACAGUACCAGAGGAAUAAGCACCGGCUAACUCCGUGCCAGCAGCCGCGGUAAU